GACUCUGCAGUUCAGUUGGUUAGAACGCUGCACGGGAAUCGCAAGACCGCAGGUUCAAUUCCUGCCAGAGUGG